GACAGAAGGUGCAAGCGUUACUCGGAAUUACUGGGCGUAAAGCGUCUGUAGGUGUCCUGCCACGUCUGGCGUUAAAGCGCAGUGCUCAACACUGCGUCUGUGCCGGAAACGAGCGGGAUCGAGUCAUUCAGAGGCAUCUGGAAUGUCGUGUGUAGGGGUAAAAUCCGUAGAUACACGAUGGAACGCCAAAAGCGAAGGCAGGAUGCUGGGAAUGUACUGACACUCAGAGACGAAAGCGUGGGGAGCAAAGGGG
rnacentral:rRNA from 1 species